rnacentral:rRNA from 1 species
UACGAAGGGGGCUAGCGUUGCUCGGAAUCACUGGGCGUAAAGGGUGCGUAGGCGGGUCUUUAAGUCAGGGGUGAAAUCCUGGAGCUCAACUCCAGAACUGCCUUUGAUACUGAAGAUCUUGAGUUCGGGAGAGGUGAGUGGAACUGCGAGUGUAGCGGUGAAAUGCGUAGAUAUCAGGAGGAACACCGGUGGCGAAGGCGGCUACCUGGACAGAAACUGACGCUGAGGCGCGAAAGCUAGGGGAGCAAACAGG